AUUGAACGCUGGCGGCAUGCCUUACACAUGCAAGUCGAACGGCUGCACGGGUGCUUGCACCUGGUGGCGAGUGGCGAACGGGUGAGUAAUACAUCGGAACGUACCUUAUCGUGGGGGAUAACGCAGCGAAAGCUGUGCUAAUACCGCAUACGCCCUGAGGGGGAAAGCGGGGGAUCGAAAGACCUCGCGCGAUUAGAGCGGCCGAUGCCUGAUUAGCUUGUUGGUGGGGUAAAAGCCCACCAAGGCGACGAUCAGUAGCUGGUCUGAGAGGACGAUCAGCCACACUGGGACUGAGACACGGCCCAGCCUCCUUCGGGAGGCAGCAGUGGGGAAUUUUGGACAAUGGGGGCAACCCUGAUCCAGCAAUGCCGCGUGAGCGAAGAAGGCCUUCGGGUUGUAAAGCUCUUUUGUCAGGGAAGAAACACCGGCUCUAACACAGUCCGGGAAUGACGGUACCUGAAGAAUAAGCACCGGCUAACUACGUGCCAGCCGCCGCCGUAA
rnacentral:rRNA from 1 species